rnacentral:rRNA from 1 species
GUCCUAGCCCUAACGAUGGAUGCUUGGUGUGGCGGGUACCCAAUCCCGCCGUGCCGGAGCUAACGCGUUAAGCAUCCCGCCUGGGGAGUACGGUCGCAAGGCUGAACUCAAGGAAUUGACGGGCCCGGCACAAGCGGUGGAGCAUGUGGUUCAAUUCGACGCAACGCGAAGAACCUUACCUGGGCUCGAAGCGCAGUGGACUGGGGUGGAAACAUCCCUUCCCGCAAGGGCCGCUGCGGAGGUGCUGCAUGGCUGUCGU